CGGAGGAUCCAAGCGUUAUCCGGAAUCAUUGGGUUUAAAGGGUCCGUAGGCGGUUUUAUAAGUCAGUGGUGAAAUCUGGUCGCUCAACGAUCAAACGGCCAUUGAUACUGUAGAACUUGAAUUACUUGGAAGUAACUAGAAUAUGUAGUGUAGCGGUGAAAUGCUUAGAGAUUACAUGGAGUACCAAUUGCGAAGGCAGGUUACUACAAGUAUAUUGACGCUGAUGGACGAAAGCGUGGGGAGCGAACAGGAUUAGAUACCCUGGUAGUCCACGCCGUAAACGAUGGAUACUAGCUGUUUGGAGCAAUCUGAGUGGCUAGGCGAAAGUGAUAAGUAUCCCACCUGGGGAGUACGCUCGCAAGAGUG
rnacentral:rRNA from 1 species